UACGAAGGGGGCUAGCGUUGCUCAGAAUCACUGGGCGUAAAGCGCACGUAGGCGGCUUUCUAAGUCAGGGGUGAAAUCCUGGAGCUCAACUCCAGAACUGCCUUUGAUACUGGAGAGCUUGAGUCCGGGAGAGGUGAGUGGAACUCCGAGUGUAGAGGUGAAAUUCGUAGAUAUUCGGAAGAACACCAGUGGCGAAGGCGGCUCACUGGCCCGGUACUGACGCUGAUGUGCGAAAGCGUGGGGAGCAAACAGG
rnacentral:rRNA from 1 species